rnacentral:lncRNA from 1 species
GCUGGAGAGAUGGCUCGUAACCCGAGCACUGGCUGCACUUCCAAAGGACCCGGGUUCAAUUCCCAGCCCCACAUGGCAGCUUACAAUUGUAACUCAAGUUCAUUACUUCACACAGACAGUCACACUGUCCAAAUACCAACACACAUAAAAAUUAAAUGAAUAAGUAAAUUAAAGAAACCAAUAUCAGGAUCCUCAAAUCCCUUAAAAUCCUUUUUGAGACUCUGAACACGAGUCUUUAUCCUCUCUCCUCAGACCCAAAAGUUCAGACCCUUUAACCAGACGUUAAACUAGAGGUUCAGGCUCCAUACCUCCUCCCCCUUCAUCAAAUCCAUAAAUCCACACCCUAGCCCUCCUUUCCUCAGACCAGGAAUCCAAACCCAGAUGUCUUUUCUUAGACCCUAAGCAUUCACACUCCGACUCUCCUGCUCUUGAUUUAUAGGCAUCCUGGCCAGCCCCAUGUCUCUGUUGUAUAUAGGCACCCAGCCCUCCUCUCUAGCACUCAGGUGCCCAGCACCCAACUCCUUUCUCUUUCAAACACUAAAGUACACACAUUCAAACUCUGACUGCUCACCUAGAGAGGAUCAGAAGAGGUACAGUAAAAGCUUGGGUUCCCAGAAAGUAGAGAAAAUUCUGGGCAGUCUGAGGGAGGCUCUCAAUGGCCUCAGGGAUCUGGGCCCAAAUGGACAGCUUCCCUCGGAACGGGCCACACAGUUUCGAAGGAAGAUACUGUAAAGCACGGGAACUGCAGAGAUCGCCAGACCCACAAGGAGAACCAGGGGGAAAAAGAAGUUUGCCGUGGAUGCUCGGAAGGUGCGGGAAGCCGCCGCAGGCCUUACAUCCUUCUGCUUCCAUGUUUCCCCCACACGUGAUCUGACUCCACAGAGAGACCAGAAGGAAUACCAGCGAGGCCAGACGCAAAAACACAGUCCUGCAAGAUGAAGGGACUCACACUGAGGUUGUGCCUCCUGGAUGCACACUCAUGAUUUCCUCCUCCACUUUAUAUUUUUCCUACCCGCCCCCCACUUUUCACAGAGGAAGGAACUGAGUCUCAGAGUCAGAAUUUAAGACCAGGACUCCCUGGAUUUCAUAUGCAUGGGACUUCACUGUCUCAUUCAUAUGUGUGUGUGUGUGUAUGUGUGUAAAUAAAUGACAAAUCAAAUAU